rnacentral:rRNA from 1 species
UACGGAGGGUGCAAACGUUGCUCGGAAUCAUUGGGCGUAAAGCGCACGUAGGCGGUCCCAUAAGUCGGGUGUGAAAGCCCUCGGCUUAACCGAGGAAGUGCAUUCGAAACUGCGGGACUUGAGUAUGGAAGAGGGUCGCGGAAUUCCCGGUGUAGAGGUGAAAUUCGUAGAUAUCGGGAGGAACACCAGUGGCGAAGGCGGCGACCUGGGCCAAUAUUGACGCUAAUGUGCGAAAGCGUGGGGAGCAAACAGG